UAUAAUAUGCCUAGUACAGUGCUUGACACAA
rnacentral:piRNA from 1 species